rnacentral:rRNA from 1 species
UACGGAGGAUGCAAGCGUUAUCCGGAUUCAUUGGGUUUAAAGGGUGCGCAGGCGGAGUGUUAAGUCAGUGGUGAAAGCCUGCAGCUCAACUGCAGAACUGCCAUUGAUACUGACAUUCUUGAGUAUUGUUGAGGUAGGCGGAAUGUGUCAUGUAGCGGUGAAAUGCUUAGAUAUGACACAGAACACCGAUCGCGAAGGCAGCUUACCAAGCAAUAACUGACGCUCAUGCACGAAAGCGUGGGGAUCAAACAGG